UCAGGAUGAACGCUGGCGGCGUGCCUAACACAUGCAAGUCGAACGAAGCUCUGAGACGGAAUCUUCGGAGGAAGUCGAGGAAGACUUAGUGGCGGACGGGUGAGUAACGCGUGAGCAACCUGCCUUCGGAGGGGGAUAACGAUUGGAAACGAUCGCUAAUACCGCAUAACAUAUGAAUGUCGCAUGGCAAACAUAUCAAAGCUGAGGCGCCGAAAGAUGGGCUCGCGUCCGAUUAGAUAGUUGGUGAGGUAACGGCUCACCAAGUCGACGAUCGGUAGCCGGACUGAGAGGUUGAACGGCCACAUUGGGACUGAGACACGGCCCAGACUCCUACGGGAGGCAGCAGUGGGGGAUAUUGCACAAUGGGCGAAAGCCUGAUUGCAGCAACGCCGCGUGAGGGAAGACGGUUUUCGGAUUGUAAACCUCUGUCUUUGGUGAAGAAGCAAGUGACGGUAACCGAGGAGGAAGCCACGGCUAACUACGUGCCAGCCGCAGC
rnacentral:rRNA from 1 species